rnacentral:rRNA from 1 species
GAUGAACGCUGGCGGCGUGCUUAACACAUGCAAGUCGAACGGAAAGGCUCCUGCUUGCAGGGGUACUCGAGUGGCGAACGGGUGAGUAACACGUGGGUGAUCUGCCCUGCACUUCGGGAUAAGCCUGGGAAACUGGGUCUAAUACCGGAUAGGACGAUGGUUUGGAUGCCAUUGGGGAAAGAUUUUUCGGUGUGGGAUGAGCUCGCGGCCUAUCAGCUUGUUGGUGGGGUAAUGGCCUACCAAGGCGUCGACGGGUAGCCGGCCUGAGAGGGUGUACGGCCACAUUGGGACUGAGAUACGGCCCAGACUCCUACGGGAGGCAGCAGUGGGGAAUAUUGCACAAUGGGCGCAAGCCUGAUGCAGCGACGCCGCGUGGGGGAUGACGGCCUUCGGGUUGUAAACUCCUUUCGCUAGGGACGAAGCGCAAGUGACGGUACCUGGAGAAGAAGCACCGGCUAACUACGUG